AUGCAACUUUGUGCAGCUACCAGUGGAAUUGCGGACAUCGAUGGGCUACGUCAGUGCGUACAGGUUAUCUGCGAAGCCAUGGGGCAACUAAUUACGGCUCCGACAAAAACUCCACGUCAUAAAGAACAAGUGAAAAGUUUGAUCAAUGAUCUACAAAGUUUACAACGAGCUCUAGUGGACAUCAUUGGCGAAAUGACCACGCCGACCAACGCUGAGACAGCGCAACCGGGCUUUGGCGGAAACGGAGGAAGUGGUACAGGCGAUCAAAAUCACUUCGGUACUGCACAGACGGAAGCCAUGCAGGUGAUUCCAAGUACCGACGCACAACAUUCACAAACACAAGGUCAGACGACGGGAGGUGGCAGCUCAGAAAACAUUCCGACGAGCGAGCAACUGGGCGAUCCACAUUGGCCACGUUUGAUGCUUGCACCGGAAUCUCCAAACUCACAACGGACAGCCGGUAUAUCUCCAACCUAUCAGGGACAGCCACACUACCAUAAUCAGAGGCUUCUGGACCAGUCAUACCAUCACGGCUCUUCUUUCCCCAUUGAAGGUCACAAUGCAUCCGCUGCCGUGGUACAGCUAUACCCAGUUACAUAUGGGUCACCAGGAGUUCUAUUGGCUUUUCCUAGUUCUGCGUCCCCGUUCAGGCAACCACGUUUGAAGUAUACCGGAACUGUACCGGUCCAUUCUCUUGAGGACAUGAUGGGACGUCUCACUAUCAAUAAUCCUUUUGCGAGGAUGAUGAUGCGGACAAGUUGUCAAGCCAUACAUAAAGCUCCACCAAAGGAAAUUGUUCUCCUUGAGGCUGAGCCAUCAGUUAAGCAGAAAAGCUAUGCUCUGGGUGGACACAAUAACAAGGACGUCACCGAGUCGUCCAGCCACUUUGUGGUUGUCGACUUCAAGGCGACCUGCGAGGCGACAUGCGCGGCGACCUGCCAGGCGGGCGUAAAUAGCAACCGGCAGGAGAUCAUCGAGUUCUCAUCCAUCCUCGUCGACGCCGUUACCGGCCAAUCAGUGUCCGCCUUCCACACUUACGUCUGCCCGAUAAUACACCCCGAACUGAGCGAGUUUUGCAAGAAAUACAACGGCAUUCUGCAGACAGAAGUAGAGGCCGGGGUGAUGCUGUCGGAGGCGCUGCAGAUGCACCAAGCAUGGCUGAAGGAGGUAGAGACAAAAAAUGGAGGUCACCUUAGCUUCACUGUCGUGACGUGGGGCACCUGGGACUGCCGUACCAUGCUGAGACAGGAGUGCUUGUUCAAGAAGGUCCACAUUCCUCACUACUUCUACCAGUGGAUCAACCUCAAGAAACCAUUUACGGAGAAGUUUGGUAACAAAUAUUGGUCGGCUCCAGUGAAGACGGCGGUCGAUGAUGUGGGGCUUAACUGGAGGGGCCGUCUAACAGGCGGGAAGAGCCACGCGGACAACAAGGCACGGCUUCUUGAGUUUCUAAUCCGGCAGGGCGCCAAGCUCUACAUCACGGGCGACCUGGAGGGAUGUGACCUUCUACUACUAGGCCCGACGUAG
rnacentral:rRNA from 1 species